CUUCACUCUUUUGCCCUUCGGUGUCGGCCCCCUCUCUUGCCUCGGCUGUCUCACUCUCCUCCCGUUGUCGACGAUUCGUCCGGUCCUUCUUUCACCCGCACAACACUUCUUGAGGAACACCAAAGGUAGUUAUAUUAAAUACUCCUGUUGCAUCUAUAUCAACAAUCAACCCGGUUCUUCGCACACAUCAGGAGGAGACAGACACUUGGCGGGCUCAUAAUCAGUUAACGCGAUGGCGACUAUGAAACAACGAGCAGAAAUUAUUACCUGGACACUUGUAUAAAACUUGGUGAACGGGUAACGGAAUGACCUCCGCUGUCGUUGUGCCAGCGCGUCACACACUCAGUGAGUUUUUCACGUUUCUUUUUUUUUUACAAAUUAUUUAACCGGGGAAUGGAGUGUUGAUUAUUAUCCACAAGCGUCAUACAUUCGACCGUACGCGGACAGUCUGACUCCUGGACUGUUCGUGGUUCGUGUUCGCUGUCUUUGCUUGGUAUUUCUCUCUCUUUUUCUCGGUGAAACACCACGAGACAACAGAGUUGAUGUUUUGGCUGUGUGUGAAUGUUGGUGUAUGGUGCACAGAGAUCAAAGGAAUCUCAAGAGCCAGCAGUGGGGAGGUUGGUUUACAUGGUGAUUGGAGGGGUGGGAACAGCUAUUGGAGAGGUAUUCUUCGAUUACGUACAGACUGGGAGAUGGUUAGCAGUUCUGCUUCUGAUCAAAGCUUUAAAACAAGAUUCUUCGUACAGUGCAUCUCCAAUAGAGAGCAGGAGCGGACGGUCGAGGUUUUACGCGGGGAUAUUUCAAAUGUCGAAGGACAUUCUUUGGAGAAAAUCAAUAAUGGGUUGUCGCAAAAAUUGUGAAAAUAUUGGCCGACAAGAGAUGAAUUUAUAUUGGAUAUGUUACAACGAAUAUCCUGAUAGUUAUUACCAUUCUGACCCAUGUAUUUGAAAAUUAAAACGUUUUUUUGUAAUCUCAGACGCGGGCAUUUUAACCACUUUUAAAAUUAAAAUAUGACUUUAUAAAAAAUUUAACUUCAAGUUAUUUCCGAGAAGGAGGAGGGGAUCACAGAAUUCCUUAUAACGCUGGAAUUUUAUCAUUUGAUUUUAUUUUUCACCAAAGAAAUGAGCGAAUGAAGCGUCUCUGAGUGCUGAGGUUCACUCUACAGUAGAAACUGAGAUAAUAUCGCCACUUUUUACUUGUUAUCUGAAUAUUAAUAAUUUAGUCAAGUUAAAAUGCUGUUCAUUGUUAGUUCCCUUCUGUAAAAAUAUAUAGAACUUUGCAGACGUUUUGAACUUAGUUUAAAAUUUUCCCGCCACCACGUUGAGACAUCGAGGUAUACUUCAUGACACAGAGUUGCCAUAUAAACGAAAAUGCGGUACUAUUUGACAAUUUUCACCAAACGAAGAAAAUAAAUAUUAAAAAUGUUACGAACAAAUAAUUCUAGAUAAUCAGCCGACGGAUUCUAAUUAUUUUAAUAUUUUCCAAUUAGAAUUAUCUAGUGAGGGGCUUGAGAAUGAUAGCUCCGUGGUUAAAAUUCACUUCUGCGCAGAAAGGAGGUUCAGAAAACAAUCCAGACGUGACCUGAAAAAAAAGGUGUAUAAAAUUCCCCAAGUUCCGGAACUUUAAAAUGUUUCUAUAACUAUGAGCAGCUGUAGAUAAAAAGAAAUUUCCUGCCUUUCACGUAUAAGCUUGGAGGUUGGGUCGAUGCAUGUAGGAAUCUUCAAAUUGAAACGCAGCAAUAAAAUCUUAUGAUCAACUACUUGUGGGACCUGCAUUCACAUUUCUGGGGGAAUUCCAAUUUGAAUUAAUUAUUCAUAUCUUAUAUUCUCAUGUCAGAAUGCGUACAUAAUAAAAGGAAGGAAUGGGUAACGUUAUAGUUAUUGAUUCCAGAAUCGAUAGUC